GAUUCGUCACACUAUCAUUAACUGAAUCCAUAGGUUAAUGAGGCGAACCGGGGGAACUGAAACAUCUAAGUACCCCGAGGAAAAGAAAUCAACCGAGAUUCCCCCAGUAGCGGCGAGCGAACGGGGAGGAGCCCAGAGCCUGAAUCAGCAUGUGUGUUAGUGGAAGCGUCUGGAAAGGCGCGCGAUACAGGGUGACAGCCCCGUACACAAAAGCGCAUGUGCUGUGAGCUCGAUGAGUAGGGCGGGACACGUGGUAUCCUGUCUGAAUAUGGGGGGACCAUCCUCCAAGGCUAAAUACUCCUGACUGACCGAUAGUGAACCAGUACCGUGAGGGAAAGGCGAAAAGAACCCCGGCGAGGGGAGUGAAAAAGAACCUGAAACCGUGUACGUACAAGCAGUGGGAGCACCCUUCGGGGUGUGACUGCGUACCUUUUGUAUAAUGGGUCAGCG
rnacentral:rRNA from 2 species